ACCGUCGACCAGUCAGGUAACGAGCGAGACCCCUGCGUCUAGUUGCUACCCAUUACUCUACUGGAGCCAGUGGAGCGAAUUAGACGGACCGCCCACCAGUUAAUGUGGAGGAAGGAAGGGGCCCACGGCCAGGUCCAGUAUGCCCCGAAACCCUAGGGCUACACGCGGGCUGCUAAUGGUAUUGACAAUGUGUUCCGAAUCCGAAAGGAGGGAGGCAAUCAUCUAAACUAAUAUCUCAGUUAUGACUGAGGGCUGUAACUCGCCCUCACGAAUAUGGAAUCCCUAGUAACCGCGCGUCACUACCGCGCGGUGAAUACGUCCCUGCUCCUUGCACGAAUUCGCCG
rnacentral:rRNA from 1 species